UGUGUAGUAGUAGAUGAGAUUUGAGACACUAAGGUGUAUAGUAGUACAUGAAAUGUGUGAAACUAUGGUGUAUAGUAGUGGAUGAAAUGUGUGACAUUGAGGUGUAUAGUAGUAGAUGAAAUGUGUGACACUAAGGUGUAUAGUAGUAGGUGAAAUGUGUGACACUAAGGUAUGUAGUAGUAGAUGAAAUGUGUGACACUAAGGUGUAUAGUAGUAGAUGAAAUGUGUGACACUAAGGUGUAUAGUAGUAGAUGAAAUGUGACACUAAGGUGUAUAGUAGUAAAUGAAAUGUGUGACACUAAGGUAUGUAGUAGUAGAUGUGUGACACUAAAGUGUAUAGUAGUAGAUGAAAUGUGUGACACUAAGGUGUAUAGUAGUAAAUGAAAUGUGUGACACUAAGGUGUAUAGUAGUAGAUGAAAUGUGUGACACUGAGGUGUAUAGUAGUAG